UACGUAGGGGGCAAGCGUUGUCCGGAAUUAUUGGGCGUAAAGAGCGCGUAGGCGGUCCGAUAAGUCGGCUGUGAAAGUCAAGGGCUCAACCCUUGAAAGCCGGCCGAUACUGUCGGACUAGAGUCCGGAAGAGGCGAGUGGAAUUCCCGGUGUAGCGGUGAAAUGCGCAGAUAUGACAUAGAACACCAAUUGCGAAGGCAGCUCACUACACGAAUAUUGACACUGAGGCACGAAAGCGUGGGGAUCAAACAGG
rnacentral:rRNA from 1 species